GACGAACGCUGGCGGCGUGCUUAACACAUGCAAGUCGAACGGAAAGGCCCAGCUUGCUGGGUGCGCGAGUGGCGAACGGGUGAGUAACACGUGGGUGAGCUGCCCCUAACUUCGGGAUAAGCUUGGUAAACUGGGUCUAAUACCGGAGAGGACAAUCGUUUAGUGGCGGUUGUGGAAAGUGUUUCCGGUUAGGGAUGAGCCCGCGGCGGAUCAGCGAGUUGGUGGGGUAACGGCCCACCAAGGCGACGACGGGUAGCUGGUCUGAGAGGGUGGUCAGCCACACUGGGACUGAGACACGGCCCAGGCUCCUACGGGCGGCAGCAGUGGGGAAUAUUGGACAUUGGGCGCAAGCCUGAUCCAGCCAUGCCGCGUGAGUGAUGAAGGCCUUAGGGUUGUAAAGCUCUUUUAUCCGGGACUAUAAUGACGGUACCGGAGGAAUGAGCCCCGGCGAACUUCGU
rnacentral:rRNA from 1 species